CGUUGCUUUCUCCGCCGGCGACCGGCGCACGGGUGAGGUAACACGUAUGCAACCUGCCCCUGUCAGGGGGACAACCCGCCGAAAGGCGGGGCUAAACCCGCGUACAUGCCACCGGGGCAUCCCGGAGGCAGGAAAGGCUUCGGCCGGACAGGGAUGGGCAUGCGGCGCAUUAGGCAGUAGGCGGGGUAACGGCCCACCUAACCGACGAUGCGUAGGGGUUCUGAGAGGAAGGUCCCCCACACUGGUACUGAGACACGGACCAGACUCCUACGGGAGGCAGCAG
rnacentral:rRNA from 1 species